rnacentral:rRNA from 1 species
GACGAACGCUGGAGGCGUGCCUAAUACAUGCAAGUCGAACGCAGUGGGGACGGGUGAGUAACACGUGGGUAAACUCCCAUCAGAGGGGAUAACACUUGGAAACAGGUGAUAAACCGAUACUGAUGGAGGGCCCCGCGGUGCAUUAGCUAGUUGGGGAGGUAACGGCUCACCAAGGUAAAGAUGAAUAGCCGAACGUAGAGGGUGAUCGGCAAAACUGGGACUGGGACCAGGCCCAGAAUCCGAUGGGUGGCAGCAGGAGGGAAUCUUCUGCAAUGGACGAAAGUCUGACCGAGCAAGGCCGCGGGAGUGAAGAAGGUUGUCGGAUCGUAAAACUCUGUUGUUAGAGAAGCGGUAUCUAACCAGAAAGCCACGGCUAACUACGUGCCAGCAGCAGCGUAAUAC